rnacentral:lncRNA from 1 species
GGAAACAAACUGUCCGCCCACUCUACAAGCGCAGCUGAUUGACGCCUAUGAGCAGACGCUUCAUACCGUCAGAUAUACACACGCGUCCCACAUCCAGCGGUUCCACCACCUAUAAAUACCCAAGGUUUGACAAGAGGUAAAGGGGAUGAAAUUCUUAAUACAUAGCAUUCCAUAACAAGUUUAUAUAUUCUCCUCCCCCUUUAUUGAUUGAUUUGUGUAGCCCCUGGGCACUGUUCCGACCAUUCAAACCUGACUUGACUGUCGGAGUAUACGGCCGCCAUCACCCCCGUCGGUUCCGGCCGUGUGCGCCUGACCGUUUGUUCAUUUCGCAGGGAGAAAUACGUGGAGUAGCUAUAAGUUAGCCACGUGGAGGAACCAUUUUUGAAGGUCAACACAAUUAACUGAUCAUCUUGAUCUCAGUUUAAUCCCUAAUUUUCAGAGUGAAAAAGGAAGCCCUUUACAGGAAGCUAAUCGGCGACUUGGGAGCCCAUCAAUGAAUUCUGAAGAAUCAGUAAUAACUACUUUUAGAGAUCAGCAAUCCCACGAACCAAAGCUUCUCAACUUGUUCAAUUAGUUCUGCUAUCAAACAUCCUCUAUGAAAAGCUGUAACAAUCUUGUUAUGGGCUUUAGCUUUUGUUUAUUUUGUUCUCAGGCGAGUUCUAUAAGUUAUUGGCACAAGAUUUCCCUUAUUUUCUCCUUGAUUAUGCGUGGAGAAACAGGAGGGGAAAAUGAAAGUUUGCCAAUGAUUAUCUCUCUUUCUUGAAUAAAUCAUUUAUCUUUUCUUUAACUUUUUGGUACUGCUAAUGUCCAUCUAUGUUCAGGGCUAGUAAUACAUCGAAAUAGUUUCUUUUCUCAUCAAUCUUAUAGUUUUACAAAUCAUCUAAGACCCUAUUCCUCGAUCUAUAGCUCCAACGCCCAAAUUUUGUAGGUAUUCUACCUAGUGGAGGAUCAAACUUUAGGUGCCGUGCUGCAGGGCCAGAUAGGCCCUGUUUUCCCCCGGGGUGGGGGGCAUUCGAGAAGAAUUCUUCUUCUUCUGGCCUUCAUCUCCAACUAAAUUAUGAACACGUGAUUGAGCUAGUAACGGUAUGAGCAAGAGAGAGGGGCUAAGUGUUGCCUUUUCAAUUAACUCCCGUACCUUGGUGUGCCGCCAUCGAUGUAGAUUGUAGCAUGCUUCUCUCCACCAAACACGAAAAUUUCUUUUAGAAAGAAAAAUAAAGGGGGGAAAAUUCAAUUUACCUUAAAAAUUUAGCCCCGUUUGAUAGAAACUAAAAUCCAAAUUUUAUUUUAAGUUAAAGUUAAAAAUUAAUUUCAAUCGCAAAUUUUAUGCGAUCCACAAUUUUUCAAUCGCACAUUUCAUCAAUUUUAUUAAAUUUUGACUUUAAUCUUAGUAGCUUAGAUUUGUCCAGGAAUUACGUGGAUACAAGAAAAUACAAUGUUAUGUCGUAUAGAUAUGUAUUUGAAACAUUACUUGGAAAUUCAUACUUAUCCAAAUGCCAAGAAAAUUGCUUAAACAGUGUUCUCUAUAUUAUUAAAAAUUUGGUCGUGGAUUUGUUAACACUUGGUAGAUAAGGGAAGAAGACAGAUAAAGAUGAAAGAGAGAGAGGCGGCUUUUGGAGGGUGUGAAGAGGCAGAUAGAAUGUGCAAGUGUAUAAUUAUUAAUUAAUAUCCAAUUUAUGGUGAAAAUGACUACAGCUUAGAAUUAAACGUAUAUUAGAAAGUUUUACAAGCCUUACGUUGAAAUUUCUAUCUUAGUUGUAUAAAUAUUAUUUCUUUUAUCCUUUUUUAAUCAUAAAUUC